GACGAACGCUGGCGGCGUGCCUAAUACAUGCAAGUAGAACGCUGAAGAGAGGAGCUUGCUCUUCUUGGAUGAGUUGCGAACGGGUGAGUAACGCGUAGGUAACCUGCCUUGUAGCGGGGGAUAACUAUUGGAAACGAUAGCUAAUACCGCAUAACAAUGGAUGACACAUGUCAUUUAUUUGAAAGGGGCAAUUGCUCCACUACAAGAUGGACCUGCGUUGUAUUAGCUAGUAGGUGAGGUAAUGGCUCACCUAGGCGACGAUACAUAGCCGACCUGAGAGGGUGAUCGGCCUCACUGGGACUGAGACACGGCCCAGACUCCUACGGGAGGCAGCAGUAGGGAAUCUUCGGCAAUGGGGGCAACCCUGACCGAGCAACGCCGCGUGAGUGAAGAAGGUUUUCGGAUCGUAAAGCUCUGUUGUAAGUCAAGAACGGGUGUGAGAGUGGAAAGUUCACACUGUGACGGUAGCUUACCAGAAAGGGACGGCUAACUACGUG
rnacentral:rRNA from 1 species